AUGGCUCAGGAUGAACGCUAGCGGCAGGCUAACACAUGCAAGUCGAGGGGCAUCGGGAGUAGCAAUACUGCCGGCGACCGGCGCAAGGUGCGUAACGCGUGAGCAACAUGCCCGUAUCAGGGGGAUAAUCCAUGGAAACGUGGUCUAAUACCCCAUAGUAAUUAUGUAAGGCAUCUUAUAUAAUUUAAAACUUUGGUGGAUACGGAUUGGCUCGCGUGACAUUAGCUGGAUGGUAAGGUAACGGCUUACCAUGGCUACGAUGUCUAGGGGUUCUGAGAGGAAGGUCCCCCCACACUGGAACUGAGACACGGUCCAGACUCCUACGGGAGGCAGCAGUGAGGAAUAUUGGACAAUGGAUGGAAAUCUGAUCCAGCCAUGCCGCGUGCAAGGAAGACGGCCCUAUGGGUUGUAAACUGCUUUUGUAUGGGAGCAAUAAGGGCUACGUGUAGUCCGAUGAGAGUACCAUACGAAUAAGCACCGGCUAACUCCGUGCCAGCAGCCGC
rnacentral:rRNA from 1 species